AAAAAUAUGUCUUCACAUGUCAUGGGAAA
rnacentral:piRNA from 1 species